CUACGGGGGGCACCAGCUAGGAAUUUUUUGCAAUGCACGCAAGUGUGACAAAGCGAGCCAGAGUGCUUUUCCGUAUUGGAAAAGCUUUUGUGAGAUGUAAAAAGUCUCACGAAUAAGGACUGGGCAAGACUGGUGCCAGCCGCCGCGGUAAUACCAGCGGUCCAAGUCGCAGCCACUUUUAUUGGGUCUAAAACAUCCGUAGCUUGCUGAGUAAGUCUCUUGUGAAAUCUGGCAUCUUAAGUGUUGGGCGUGCAAGAGAUACUGCUUAGCUAGAGACCGGGAGACGUGAAGAGUACGGAUAGGGUAGCGGUCAAAUGCGUUGAUCCUUUCCGGACUAACAAUAGCGAAGGCACUUCACGAGAACGGAUCUGACAGUGAGGGAUGAAGGCUAGGGGCGCAAAACGGAUUAGAUACCCCCGUAGUC
rnacentral:rRNA from 1 species